CCAUAUGCUUGUCUCAAAGAUUAAGCCAUGCAGGUCUAAGUACGGCCUCUCGAACAGGUGAAACCGCGAACGGCUCAUUAAAUCAGUCAUGGUUCCUUAGAGCUUACGUCGUGUCUUUUACUUGGAUACCCGUGGUAAUUCUAGAGCUAAUACAUGCAACGAAGCUCCGACGACGACGGCUCCGCGAGGAGUCGCCGUCACGACGAGCGCUUUUAUUAGACCGCAAAGACCGUUCCGUCGGCUGUCGUUCCCUUUAACCGGGGAACGUGGCGGACGCGUUUGCGUGGUGACUCUGGAUAACUCAGCCGAUCGGCCUUCGUUAGGCGUGCCUUCACGGGCACGUCGUGAAGGCCGACGCAACUUUCAAGUGUCUGCCUUAUCAACUUUAGACGGUAGGUCAAGUGCCUACCGUGGUGAUAACGGGUGACGGGGAAUCAGGGUUCGAUUCCGGAGAGGAAGCCUGAGAAACGGCUACCACAUCCAAGGAAGGCAGCAGGCUCGCAAAUUACCCACUCCCGGCACGGGGAGGUAGUGACGAAAAAUAACGGUGCGGGACUCGGUCGAGACCCCGUCACCGGAAUGAGUGACUCUCAAAUCCUCCAACGAGGAACGACCGGAGGGCAAGUCCGGUGCCAGCAGCUGCGGUAAUUCCGGCUCCGGUAGCAUAUGCUAAACUUGCUGCGGUUAAAAAGCUCGUAGUUGGAUUUCAGUCUCGGCCGGCCGCCGUCGCCCGUGUUGGCGGCGGAGGGUCGGUCGGUCAGAAGUCGUCGGCUAGCCCGGAAUGAUCUUGAUCGGUCGUUCGUCGGGUUACGGCCGACGGAGUUUACUUUGAAAAAAUCAGAGUGCUCAGAGCGGGCCCAGAGACAAGCCCGAACGUCGGUGCAUGGAAUAAUGGAAAAAGACCUCGGUUCUGGAAGUCUGUUGGUCCUUCGAACCAGCGAGGUAAUGAUUGAGAGGAACGGCCGGGGGCGAUCGUACCCCGACGCUAGAGGUGAAAUUCUUGGACCGUCGGGUGACGCACCACAGCGAAAGCAUUCGUCAAGAACGCUUCCGUUAAUCAAGAACGAAAGUUAGAGGUUCGAAGGCGAUCAGAUACCGCCCUAGUUCUGACUGUAAACGAUGCCGACCAGCGAUCGGGCUGCGCUCGCCACGACGAGGCGCCCGGAAGCUUUCCGGGAAACCAGAGUGUCUGGGUUCCGGGGGAAGUAUGGUUGCAAAGCUGGAACUUAAAGGAAUUGACGGAAGGGCACCACCAGUCGUGGAGCCUGCGGCUUAAUUUGACUCAACACGGGGAAACUCACCCGGUCCGGACACGGGAAGGAUUGACAGACUGACGGCUCUUUCUCGAUUCUGUGGUUGGUGGUGCAUGGCCGUUCUUAGUUGGUGGAGUGAUUUGUCUGGUUGAUUCCGAUAACGAACGAGACUCUGUCCUGCUAAAUAGCGAGCUUUUGAAAAGGAGAGGUUCGGUUUGCUGGCCGAUCUCUGUCGCCGAUCUCCGUUGCGCGAAACCGUCGAAACUCGUUUCUUCGGCGUAGCGCGACGCGGUCGACCGAUCGGGGAGAGGUGCGGUGACGGCUUCCCUAAAGCUCCGACGAAUCUUCUUAGAGGGACUGGCGACGCAAUUGAAGUCGCACGAGGAAGAGCGAUAACAGGUCUGUGAUGCCCCUAGAUGUCCGGGGCCGCACGCGCGCUACACUGACGCCCACAGCGAGCGCGCAAGCCCGGUCCGAAGGGACCGGGGAACCCCGUCAACGGAACGUCGUGAUGGGGACAGUGGAUUGCAAUUGUUCCACUCGAACGAGGAAUGUCAAGUAAGCGCGAGUCACUAGCUCGCGCUGAUUACGUCCCUGCCCUUUGUACACACCGCCCGUCGCUACUUUUGAUUGAACGGUUCGGUGAGGUCCUCGGACCGGCUUAGGCGCAACGCCGUAGCCGGAAAGUCGAUCGAACCGGUUCG
rnacentral:rRNA from 1 species